GGGGGUGAAACGGUUUCGACGGGGUAUGAAAAGGUCUGAGAGGCGACUCGGCACGGCACCGCCGCAAUGGGCUAAAAACACAAUCGCCAAUGACGAAUUCUACGGCGAGGUUCGCGCCGCCGCCUAACCGCGACGUCGUGUAGCCUUGGGUCCUGAUUCGGACCUGGAAACAGAAGCUUUCGCAGAAUCAAGCCGGAAAUGAUGACGGCCGGUUAAAAUCCAGGGGAUCCCAGUGCUCCGAGGUAACGGAGGUUCCAAGGCCAGCCUGUCUGCAACGGCUGCGGAACUCCAUGACGGGCAGAUGGUCGUAAUUCCUACAGACGGAGUACAUAUUUCGGACGCGAGUUCGACUCUCGCCACCUCCACCA
rnacentral:tmRNA from 1 species